GGAACACAAGAUUUUCUCCUGGAAGUGAGAAAUCUGCAGACUUCAGAGAUCCAGCUCCCCGGGAGUUGGCUGGUGGAGGUGAUGGACAGUCCUGCCUCAGCUGGCAGCUAGCUCACUUUGGGGCCCUCUGGUACUCAGGAUCUGUCCUAUGACGGUGGUACUCCGCCAACCACGGAUGGAACCAUUGGAACCAUGGGACAAAUGAAUCCUCCUCCUUCAAGUUGUUCUCUUGGGGAUUGUUGUCACAGAGAAGUAGAACCGGUAGAGCAGUGACAGGUGCCCCUGGGGACCAGGCAAGGCUCGAGUUCUCUGUGGAAAGGCAUCUUGAAGGCCCCGAAGGCUCAGUGUGUUUAUCAUCCUUUCUGUUUCUCUUUGGAAACGUAAAGGGGAAAAUGGCUUAAAAUUUAAUGGCUGACUUGAAACUGAGUAUGACUUUAAAAAAAAAUUACCAUUUCCAAAAGGUACCCAAGAUACAGCUUGCCUACCACUUUUACCUCACAGCCGGAGGGGUUGAACUCAGGCCCAGAAUCCAGCAAAGGCAAAGGCAGUAUUAACAGCCUGGGAGUCCAGCUCCCAGAACUGCUACCCAAGAUUACUCAGAGAAAAACUUCUCAAGAGCAGGGAUAGAAAGAUUUCCUUUCUAUAAUAAUUCACAUACGAUUUGAGGGUAAUUCUCUUUUACUUCAUCUUGAAAAAAAAUCUUCUGACAAUCUCCGUCUCUACAUAGUUACAUCUCUAUACCUACAGCUGUAUCUCUUGUAAGAUACAUUUCUCUUUACCCACAGCUCUUUCCUACACAGCUCUCUUCUAUACAUGCUUCUCUCUACCCAGCUACAUUCCUUCAUUCAUAACUUGCAUUUCUCUUCUACAUUUCUCAUUCCCUCACUCAUUCUCUCUCCUCUACACACACAUUUCUGCCCUACACACACAUCUUUCUCCUGCACAGCCAUAUAUUUCUAUAUAUAGCUACACGUCUCCACACACACCUCUUCUGCACGAUGCUACAUCUCCCUUUCAGCACACCCACACAUUGCUUACACACACUCACCCUUUCUCCCUUUCAGCACACUCUCUGUUUUGUUUUGUUUUGUUUGUUUUUCGAGACAGGGUUUCUCUGUGUAGUUUUGUGCCUUUCCUGGAACUCCCUCUGUAGUCCAGGCUGGCCUCGAACUCACAGAGAUCCACCUGCCUCUGCCUCCCGAGUGCUGGGAUUAAAGGCGUGCGCCACCACCGCCGGCUUUCAGCACACUCUCUGGACAGCUAUACAUUACAUUUUCAGGGCCCGACCCAUUCUCAUAACACAUGAUAAGUCACAUAGUUUUUCUUGAGCUAGGAAGGUCAUGCUGACCAGCCAGUGGGUAAUGCUUGGCCAAGCAUGUAGCCUGAGUGGUUGGUUAGCGUUCCCAGACAGAGAAUGACAUUCAGGACAACAACAACAGUAGUUGGCUGAACCUUGAGUGGUAGGGGUACGUGCAGAAAGAGAAUUACUGCAGAGAGUAUGUCCACCAAAGUUGCUUCAUGUCUGACCUUGAUUUAGCAAUAAACAUCUGGGAAUUUGUC